WACACGACUCUCGGCAACGGAUAUCUCGGCUCUCGCAUCGAUGAAGAACGUAGCGAAAUGCGAUACCUGGUGUGAAUUGCAGAAUCCCGCGAACCAUCGAGUCUUUGAACGCAAGUUGCGCCCGAGGCCACUCGGCCGAGGGCACGCCUGCCUGGGCGUCACGC
rnacentral:rRNA from 1 species